GGCCCUGUCGUCUAGUGGUUAGGACGGUGCCCUCUCACGGCACAAACUCGGGUUCGAAUCCCGGCAGGGUCACUG
rnacentral:tRNA from 1 species